rnacentral:rRNA from 1 species
UACAGAGGUCUCAAGCGUUGUUCGGAUUCAUUGGGCGUAAAGCGCGCGUAGGCGGCGGUGCUGGCCCGGCGUGAAAGCCCCCGGCUCAACCGGGGAGGGUCGUCGGGGACCGCACCGCUUGAGGGCGGUAGGGGCUGGUGGAAUGCCUGGUGUAGUGGUGAAAUGCGUAGAGAUCAGGCGGAACACCCGUGGCGAAGGCGGCCAGCUGGGCCGUCCCUGACGCUGAGGCGCGAAGGCGUGGGGAGCGAACGGG